CAUAACUAUGAAUUAAAUGCUAAUUUGACAAAUGCAUUAUUAGUUGCACAUUAUAGAUUGCAGGGGGAACCCAAUUCUCCUUCAUAUCUUUCUCAUCCAACGACAAAUAUGAUACAAAGCAAGAGAAAUUGAGACUUUCCUAGCCUCUUAUAUAUGCUGAUAGUGGAACAAAAUAAAAUAUCCUUUAAAGUCACAAGCAAGCACAGCAUUCAAAUGCUGAAAAUUGAAGUUCUAAGGCCAUUGUGCUUCUUCUUCUCUUCCUCCUCCAAACCUUCACAAAUAACUUCUUAAAUACAUAGUGGUAGAGCUAUGAUUUCAAAAUGACAGUACUUUUCAAACCUCCAAGGUCUUGCUUGUGAAUAGAAGGUUAUUUGCCACCAAUGUGGUUACUGUGAUCAAAGAAUGAAUGGUUAGCUGGAAAAACUAAUCAUCAUGAAAAGUUUUUGGGGGUUCAAGUGUUAGAAGACAGAGAAAGAGCCAUUUUAGAUGAAGAGACCUUAAUGUCAUGAGGAAAACAUGACCUGGCAUUGAUUUGGAUGGAUUCUGGGGUCUUAAUCAUCUGAGAUCUUGCAUGUGAACAUGAGAUAUGAUGCUGCAGCCAAGGAUGACUUGCCGAUAAAUUCUUUCUCUAAUUUGACUUUCAAUUCAUGUUUGUCAAUUGAUAGUGCAUUAGUUCUAAUAUAUGCAUUUGAUUAUAUAGAACACUAUUGUGAAAGUGUCUUUAGGGAUAGGGUAAAUUCGGCAAGUCAUCUUUGGCUACAUGUCUAUCUCAUGUUAAUAUGUCAGAUUCAGGAUGAUAAUUGAUUAAUGGCCUUCACAAUGAUGGAUGAGGGCUAUGGAGGGAGCAUGUGUGAAUUUUCAAUGCAAAUCUAAUUCUAAGAGGUAAGUUCUUAUUCUAUACAUCAUUUAACAAUCUUCAUUGAAACAAAGCUACCUGAUUUUUGUGUUUGAGAAUUCAUUAGGAAAAGGGGCUUUGAUUAUGUGGUACUAGUUGCAAAGCCAUCAUUCAUAGCAGCCAGGACAAAAUCUCUGUUUCUAGGGACAAGGAGGACAUGUCCAAAUUCCUAGUUUGAUUGGCUUACUAAGUUGUUUGGCCCUUCUUUAGUUUAAUCACGAUUCUUGCAAGUGCCAGCUAAAAGUAGUUCAAUCCAUUGGCAAAAUGGUGUGCAAGAACAAUGAUGGCACAGAACAAUGUCACUCUUACAGCAAAUCAAAUAUUGUUAUUUGAGAAGAGAAUUAUUUGUAAUAAGUUGAGGUUGCCCCGGACAUGGGUGAUAUGAUCAGAUGGUGAUUGGUGCCCUUACUAUGAAUAGUCACCAAACGAAUGAAGUUGACCUUAUUGGACAAUUAUAUAUAGGAAAGCGUAUAUGUUGCUUA